GCCAGAGCCAGUCUGUUGGCAGGAGGACAGGUUAGAAAAUAAAGUAUCUCUGUGCCAGAGCCAGUCUGUUGGCAGGAGGACAGGUUAGAAAAUAAAGUAUCUCUGUGCCAGAGCCAGUCUGUUGGCAGGAGGACAGGUUAGAAAAUAAAGUAUCUCUGUGCCAGAGCCAGUCUGUUGACAGGAGGACAGGUUAGAAAAUAAAGUAUCUCUGUGCCAGAGCCAGUCUGUUGGCAGGAGGACAGGUUAGAAAAUAAAGUAUCUCUGUGCCAGAGCCAGUCUGUUGACAGGAGGACAGGUUAGAAAAUAAAGUAUCUCUGUGCCAGAGCCAGUCUGUUGGCAGGAGGACAGGUUAGAAAAUAAAGUAUCUCUGUGCCAGAGCCAGUCUGUUGACAGGAGGACAGGUUAGAAAAUAAAAUAUCUCUGUGCCAGUGCCAGUCUGUUGGCAGGAGGACAGGUUAG